rnacentral:rRNA from 1 species
GUGGGGAAUCUUCCGCAAUGGACGAAAGUCUGACGGAGCGACGCCGCGUGAGUGAAGAAGGCCUUCGGGUCGUAAAGCUCUGUCAUCAGGGACGAACGGCCGGUGGAGUGGAAAGCCACCGGAUUGACGGUACCUGAGAAGGAAGCCACGGCUAACUACGUGCCAGCAGCCGCGGUAAUACGUAGGUGGCAAGCGUUGUCCGGAAUUAUUGGGCGUAAAGCGCGCGCAGGUGGGAUCUUAAGUCCAUUUUGAAAGUUCGGAGCUCAACUCCGUGAUAGGAUGGAAACUGGGAUUCUUGAGUACCGGAGAGGAAAGCAGAAUUCCCCGUGUAGCGGUGAAAUGCGUAGAUAUGGGGAGGAACACCAGUGGCGAAGGCGGCUUUCUGGACGGUGUCUGACACUGAGGCGCGAAAGCUAGGGGAGCGAACGGGAUUAGAUACCCUAGUAGUCC